AAGUCGUAACAAGGUUUCCGUAGGUGAACCUGCGGAAGGAUCAUUGUCGAAUCCUGCAUAGCAGAACGACCAGUGAACAAGUUAUCAUACACACGGGCGCUCGGCGGGGCUCCGGCCCUUCUGCAGCCCUGAUUGCUGAGGGGAGUAGUGCGAGGAUCUCUUUCCCUGUGCUGCUUUCCCCUCAGCUAAGCAACCAACCCCGGCGCAGGACGCGCCAAGGAAAAAGGAACUGAAAAGAGCGCGCUUUCUUUGGACCCAGAAAUGGACCAACCAAGGGAUGCGUCGUCUUCUUUUGAAAACCAAAACGACUCUCGGCAACGGAUAUCUCGGCUCUCGCAUCGAUGAAGAACGCAGCGAAAUGCGAUACUUGGUGUGAAUUGCAGAAUCCCGUGAACCAUCGAGUUUUUGAACGCAAGUUGCGCCCGAAGCCUUUCGGCCGAGGGCACGUCUGCCUGGGUGUCACGCAAUCGUCGCUCCAAACCCCUUUGCCCUAGGCAAGGGGUGCCGGGCGGAUACUGGCCUCCCGUGAGCUUGUCGCUCCCGGUUGGCCUAAAAAUUGAAUCUUUGGCUGUGAACGCCACGACUAUCGGUGGUUGCAAGACCUUCGGGCACGGUCGUGUGCGCCAGCAUGCCUCGGAACAUGCAGACCCGUUGUGCGUCCUAGUGCGCGCUCCCAAUGCGACCCCAGGUCAGGCGGGAACACCCGCUGAGUUUAA
rnacentral:rRNA from 1 species